rnacentral:lncRNA from 1 species
UAUAGAUUACAUAGAAGGGCAAAAUGGUAAAAUCAUCUGUGGCUCAUGCGCUUGGCGUGAUAGAAGGGCAUGUCGGUAAAUUUGUCUUCACGCGGGAAAUCUUUCGCGUCUCUGGCGAUUCCGCUGAUGAAGGUAGUUCCUCUGCCGAAGGCUGCUUCUCUGGCGAGGAUAACUUCUCUGGCGAAGGUGACUUCUCUGGCGAGG